rnacentral:piRNA from 1 species
ACAAGAAUCUCUUCCUACCUCUG